rnacentral:rRNA from 1 species
UACGUAGGGACCGAGCGUUGUCCGGAAUCAUUGGGCGUAAAGCGCGUGUAGGCGGCUUGGUAGGUUUCGUGUUAAAUCCCUCGGCUCAACUGAGGAACUGCCUUUGAAACUGGACGGCUUGAGGCCGGGAGAGGGUAGCGGAAUUCCCAGUGUAGCGGUGAAAUGCGUAGAUACUGGGAGGAACACCGGUGGCGAAGGCGGCCACCUGGACCGGUUCUGACGCUGAGGCGCGAAAGCGUGGGUAGCAAACAGG